rnacentral:rRNA from 1 species
AGUGAACGCUGGCGGUAGGCCUAACACAUGCAAGUCGAACGGCAGCACAGUAAGAGCUUGCUCUUACGGGUGGCGAGUGGCGGACGGGUGAGGAAUACAUCGGAAUCUACUUUUUCGUGGGGGAUAACGUAGGGAAACUUACGCUAAUACCGCAUACGACCUACGGGUGAAAGCAGGGGAUCUUCGGACCUUGCGCGAUUGAAUGAGCCGAGGUCGGAUUAGCUAGUUGGCGGGGUAAAGGCCCACCAAGGCGACGAUCCGUAGCUGGUCUGAGAGGAUGGUCGGCGACACUGGAACUGAGACACGGUCCAGGCGACUACGGGAGGCAGCAGUGGGGAAUAUUGGACAAUGGGCGCAAGCCUGAUACAGCCAGACCGCGUGUGAGAAGAAGGCCUUCGGGUUGGAAAGACCUUUUGUUGGGAAAGAAAAGCAGCAGGUUAAGACCCCGCUGUUCUGACGGUACCCAAAGAAGAAGCACCGGCUAACUUCGUG